rnacentral:lncRNA from 1 species
UGCCUAGAGGCUUCUUGGUGUCUCAGUUGGGUGUGUUCUUCUACUAGCUUCUAGGGGUCGGAGGUCAUGGAUGGUUCUAUCCACCUCAUAGAGUGAAGAACAGACCUGCCCCACCCCCGAAAUGGAAUUACCUGCCUCAACACCUCUACGAUACUUACUCAUCAAGGUGCUAGAGUGUUAUCAGAAAAAUUGAAAGCAGAGGCCAGCGUGACGGUCGCAGAGGCUCCGUGUGAUAUAUACCAUUUGUGUGGAAUAAAGAAAGUGGGCCUAGGUUCCGACUCAGCCCUGAGAACACACACGCAAGUAACACUAUACAGGUGGGCAUAGCUACAGGUGGAUAAACACAGAACACUGCGUGCAGCAAGGCUCGAAGAACAGUAGUGCAGGUAAGUGAGGCCGGGACUUAAGUGAAGGUGGAACCAUUCCAGCCCACAUUGGCUGUGUUCAUGUCAUAAUAGUUGAUGCAGACCCAGUCCUGGCUGAUGUGCAGGUGAUCAGACAGCAGGCCACACAUCAGCUUGAUGUAGUGGUGGUUCUGGGCGCCAGGGAUCUUGCCGAUGCUGUGCAGGCUGCAGAGGGUACAGGGGUCGUUUGUGCCGCUAAAAGUCAUGAGCUGGUCUGGGACCACGCACACUGCGAUGUACUGUGUGGGCUUGCCGGUGGCCUGCAACAGCUGCUGGGUGAGGUCGGAGAGAAACCCCUCUGGCACCGAGGCGCAGAGAACAUUGGUGUUCAUGAUGAAUGAAGGCAUGGUGGCGGAAAGACUGUGAGGGAGGACCAGAGAACGGUGCAGAGCACGGUGUGACCCAAGUCAGGGACCUGAGCUGUGUGACCCCAGAAAUAAAUUUUAAGAUGCAAUCAACAGACAGAUGUGGUCCCUCUUAGAAGACUGUGACUUCCUUUAAAGACUGCUUGUAAUUCAUUUUAAGAUUUAUAUUUAGCUUAAUGCGGAAACAGAGCCAUCCCUGGUUUAUGGUGCCCAGAAGUUUACCUUCAGAAUGGAUGUAGGAAGAGCAAGGAGAGGCUGGGAGAUGGCUCUCUCUGUAAAGUGCUUAGCAUACAAGUAUGAGAAUUUGAGUUCAAAUCCCCAGAAUCC